UACGUAGGGGGCAAGCGUUAUCCGGAUUUACUGGGUGUAAAGGGAGCGUAGACGGUCAAGCAAGUCAGAAGUGAAAGGCUGGGGCUCAACCCCGGGACUGCUUUUGAAACUGUUUGACUGGAGUGCUGGAGAGGUAAGCGGAAUUCCUAGUGUAGCGGUGAAAUGCGUAGAUAUUAGGAGGAACACCAGUGGCGAAGGCGGCUUACUGGACAGUAACUGACGUUGAGGCUCGAAAGCGUGGGGAGCAAACAGG
rnacentral:rRNA from 1 species